GUAUCGGUGGUAUAGUGACUAGCAUAGCUGCCUCCAAGCAGUUGGCCCGGGUUUGAUUCCCGGCCGACGUA
rnacentral:tRNA from 1 species